AUUGAACGCUGGCGGCAGGCUUAACACAUGCAAGUCGAGCGGGGCGGCGGCCGGGUGAGGAAGACCAAGGAAUGGGCAUGGGAGUGGUGGAUAACGUUCGGAAACGGACGCUAAAACUGCAUCCUAUCAGAUGCGCCUAGGGCGGAUUAGCUAGUUGUUGGGGUAAAGGCGGACCAGGGCUACGAUCCGUAACUGGUCUGAGAGGAUGAUCAGUCACACUGGAACUGAGACACGGUCCGGACUCCUACGGGAGUCAGCAGUGGGGAAGAUUGGACAAUGGGCGAAAGCCUGAUGCAGCCAUGCCGCGUGUGUGAAGAAGGCCUUCGGAUUGUAAAGCACUUUAAGUUGGGAGGCGUUACCGGCAGAAUAAGCACCGGCUAACUCUGUGCCAGCAGCCGCGGUAAUUC
rnacentral:rRNA from 1 species